UGUGAGCUCGAUGAGUAGGGCGGGACACGUGGUAUCCUGUCUGAAUAUGGGGGGACCAUCCUCCAAGGCUAAAUACUCCUGACUGACCGAUAGUGAACCAGUACCGUGAGGGAAAGGCGAAAAGAACCCCGGCGAGGGGAGUGAAAAAGAACCUGAAACCGUGUACGUACAAGCAGUGGGAGCACGCUUAGGCGUGUGACUGCGUACCUUUUGUAUAAUGGGUCAGCGACUUAUAUUCUGUAGCAAGGUUAACCGAAUAGGGGAGCCGAAGGGAAACCGAGUCUUAACUGGGCGUUAAGUUGCAGGGUAUAGACCCGAAACCCGGUGAUCUAGCCAUGGGCAGGUUGAAGGUUGGGUAACACUAACUGGAGGACCGAACCGACUAAUGUUGAAAAAUUAGCGGAUGACUUGUGGCUGGGGGUGAAAGGCCAAUCAAACCGGGAGAUAGCUGGUUCUCCCCGAAAGCUAUUUAGGUAGCGCCUCGUGAAUUCAUCUCCGGGGGUAGAGCACUGUUUCGGCAAGGGGGUCAUCCCGACUUACCAACCCGAUGCAAACUGCGAAUACCGGAGAAUGUUAUCACGGGAGACACACGGCGGGUGCUAACGUCCGUCGUGAAGAGGGAAACAACCCAGACCGCCAGCUAAGGUCCCAAAGUCAUGGUUAAGUGGGAAACGAUGUGGGAAGGCCCAGACAGCCAGGAUGUUGGCUUAGAAGCAGCCAUCAUUUAAAGAAAGCGUAAUAGCUCACUGGUCGAGUCGGCCUGCGCGGAAGAUGUAACGGGGCUAAACCAUGCACCGAAGCUGCGGCAGCGACGCUUAUGCGUUGUUGGGUAGGGGAGCGUUCUGUAAGCCUGCGAAGGUGUGCUGUGAGGCAUGCUGGAGGUAUCAGAAGUGCGAAUGCUGACAUAAGUAACGAUAAAGCGGGUGAAAAGCCCGCUCGCCGGAAGACCAAGGGUUCCUGUCCAACGUUAAUCGGGGCAGGGUGAGUCGACCCCUAAGGCGAGGCCGAAAGGCGUAGUCGAUGGGAAACAGGUUAAUAUUCCUGUACUUGGUGUUACUGCGAAGGGGGGACGGAGAAGGCUAUGUUGGCCGGGCGACGGUUGUCCCGGUUUAAGCGUGUAGGCUGGUUUUCCAGGCAAAUCCGGAAAAUCAAGGCUGAGGCGUGAUGACGAGGCACUACGGUGCUGAAGCAACAAAUGCCCUGCUUCCAGGAAAAGCCUCUAAGCAUCAGGUAACAUCAAAUCGUACCCCAAACCGACACAGGUGGUCAGGUAGAGAAUACCAAGGCGCUUGAGAGAACUCGGGUGAAGGAACUAGGCAAAAUGGUGCCGUAACUUCGGGAGAAGGCACGCUGAUAUGUAGGUGAAGCGACUUGCUCGUGGAGCUGAAAUCAGUCGAAGAUACCAGCUGGCUGCAACUGUUUAUUAAAAACACAGCACUGUGCAAACACGAAAGUGGACGUAUACGGUGUGACGCCUGCCCGGUGCCGGAAGGUUAAUUGAUGGGGUCAGCGCAAGCGAAGCUCUUGAUCGAAGCCCCGGUAAACGGCGGCCGUAACUAUAACGGUCCUAAGGUAGCGAAAUUCCUUGUCGGGUAAGUUCCGACCUGCACGAAUGGCGUAAUGAUGGCCAGGCUGUCUCCACCCGAGACUCAGUGAAAUUGAACUCGCUGUGAAGAUGCAGUGUACCCGCGGCAAGACGGAAAGACCCCGUGAACCUUUACUAUAGCUUGACACUGAACAUUGAGCCUUGAUGUGUAGGAUAGGUGGGAGGCUUUGAAGUGUGGACGCCAGUCUGCAUGGAGCCGACCUUGAAAUACCACCCUUUAAUGUUUGAUGUUCUAACGUUGACCCGUGAUCCGGGUUGCGGACAGUGUCUGGUGGGUAGUUUGACUGGGGCGGUCUCCUCCUAAAGAGUAACGGAGGAGCACGAAGGUUGGCUAAUCCUGGUCGGACAUCAGGAGGUUAGUGCAAUGGCAUAAGCCAGCUUGACUGCGAGCGUGACGGCGCGAGCAGGUGCGAAAGCAGGUCAUAGUGAUCCGGUGGUUCUGAAUGGAAGGGCCAUCGCUCAACGGAUAAAAGGUACUCCGGGGAUAACAGGCUGAUACCGCCCAAGAGUUCAUAUCGACGGCGGUGUUUGGCACCUCGAUGUCGGCUCAUCACAUCCUGGGGCUGAAGUAGGUCCCAAGGGUAUGGCUGUUCGCCAUUUAAAGUGGUACGCGAGCUGGGUUUAGAACGUCGUGAGACAGUUCGGUCCCUAUCUGCCGUGGGCGCUGGAGAACUGAGGGGGGCUGCUCCUAGUACGAGAGGACCGGAGUGGACGCAUCACUGGUGUUCGGGUUGUCAUGCCAAUGGCACUGCCCGGUAGCUAAAUGCGGAAGAGAUAAGUGCUGAAAGCAUCUAAGCACGAAACUUGCCCCGAGAUGAGUUCUCCCUGACUCCUUGAGAGUCCUGAAGGAACGUUGAAGACGACGACGUUGAUAGGCCGGGUGUGUAAGCGCAGCGAUGCGUUGAGCUAACCGGUACUAAUGAACCGUGAGGCUUAACCUU
rnacentral:rRNA from 1 species